CCUACGGGAGGCAGCAGUGGGGGAUAUUGCACAAUGGGGGGAACCCUGAUGCAGCGACGCCGCGUGGGUGAAGAAGCGCCUCGGCGCGUAAAGCCCUGUCGGCAGGGAAGAAAAUGACGGUACCUGGAGAAGAAGCCCCGGCUAACUACGUGCCAGCAGCCGCGGUGAUACGUAGGGGGCAGGCGUUAUCCGGAGUUACUGGGUGGAAAGGGGGCGCAGACGGGGAUGCAAGCCAGGAGUGAAAGCCCGGGGCCCAACCCCGGGACUGCUCUUGGAACUGUGUGGCUGGAGUGCAGGAGGGGCAGGCGGAAUUCCUGGUGUAGCGGUGAAAUGCGUAGAUAUCAGGAGGAACACCGGUGGCGAAGGCGGCCUGCUGGACUGCAACUGACGUUGAGGCCCGAAAGCGUGGGGAGCAAACAGGAUUAGAUACCCGAGUAGUC
rnacentral:rRNA from 1 species